AUUGAACGCUGGCGGCAUGCCUUACACAUGCAAGUCGAACGGCAGCACGGGAGCAAUCCUGGUGGCGAGUGGCGAACGGGUGAGUAAUAUAUCGGAACGUGCCCAGUCGUGGGGGAUAACGCAGCGAAAGCUGUGCUAAUACCGCAUACGAUCUAUGGAUGAAAGCGGGGGACUCGCAAGGGCCUCGCGCGAUUGGAGCGGCCGAUAUCAGAUUAGGUAGUUGGUGGGGUAAAGGCUCACCAAGCCGACGAUCUGUAGCUGGUCUGAGAGGACGACCAGCCACACUGGAACUGAGACACGGUCCAGACUCCUACGGGAGGCAGCAGUGGGGAAUUUUGGACGAUGGGCGCAAGCCUGAUCCAGCAAUGCCGCGUGCAGGAUGAAGGCCUUCGGGUUGUAAACUGCUUUUGUACGGAACGAAAAGGCUCUGGUUAAUACCUGGGGCUCAUGACGGUACCGUAAGAAUAAGCACCGGCUAACUACGUGCCAGCCGCCGCGGUAAAAC
rnacentral:rRNA from 1 species